UAAGUGGCGUUUUAAAAAUGAAGUAAAAAUACCACUUGCCGACCACUUUAAUCUAUGCAAGCUUCUGUAUUGUCCUUUGGAGACUAGUAGCUGACGCAUUUCCCAAAUAUUCACAUUUUGCAUUUUUAUUAAUGGAGCGAGAUAAAAAUGCUCUUGAGGACAGUUGGGCAUUGUAGGAAAUGCUAAGAAUGUGACAGGUUUUCUGCACUGAGCACACAAGGGCCACACUAAUGUCAGAAAGUUUAAAUAUAUUGUAUUGCAAAUGAAAUUAAGUAUGAUAAAUCUUUACCUUUAGACUUUUCAUCUCAAUUCCCGUUCUUAUGCUGUGUUCCAGCAGCGCUGUGGCUCCUUUUUCUAUUUGGCCUGAGUUCCUUCCCUUCCAGCAGUCUUUGAAUGACAGCGUUCCCUCUGCGUUAAAGGCGGUCUUAGUUAUGUGAGUCCCAAUCCACAAGUAGUCAGAAUGCCACCGGCCUUGCACACAGGAAGAGGUACAGUCGUACAUUGCAUCCCUGAUGCCUUGCGAGUCUAACGUUUUGGCUCCUGAACACCGCAAACCCAGAAGUGAGUGUUCCAGUUUGCGAACGUUCUUUGUAACCCAAACGUCCGACACGGCUUCCACGACUUCCGAUUGGCUGCAGGAAUCCAUUCCGGAAGUCCAUUCAACUUCUGAAAAUGUUGAAAACCAAGGUGAUUCCUGCAGCCAACCGGAAGCCACACCUUGGUUUUCAAACAUUUCCGGAAGUUGAAUGGACUUCUGGAACGGUUUCUGUUUGAGAACCAAAGUACAACUGUAUGUUAGCAGACUCAAGGAGCUCCAAGGUUUGCAGAAGUGCAAAUGAAGGUUAGGAAACAGACUUGCAGGACCUCCCCCCCCGCCCCCCCUAAAAAAAGAAUGAGGAGCAAGCAUGUAUCUUAACCAUGAAAUGCUGACUGCUUAGACUGAAAACGAGAAGCAAGGAGGGGGAAUGGAAUGGAGGAUCUGAAAUUCUGAACAGCGACACUCCAUGCUGUAGCAUUUUGUUGUGGCACCCAUCUGUUGUUUUUCUAUCACCUUUAGAUUGCUAUCCUUAUAUCACUUCCCACAGCCUUGGUCACUGUUGCCUUUUACCAAUAAUUUUAAAGUCUUUGUCCUGAUAGAUACUCUUUUGCAGAUAACAUUUUUGCUUACAAUGCAUCUGACUGGUACUUUUUUUUUUGCACAACUAGUAUACAUUGCGAGGUUUUCUAUUUCAUCCCCACCCAAAGAUUUCUCCCAGUUAUACAAUUUGUAUUUGUAAAGGUUUUCUUUUUCUGAGUGACCUUGAACUUAAAAGGGCAUUGGUACACUGGUGCUUGAUUUAUUUAUUUGCAUAAAGAAUUCAUAUACAGUGGACCCUCUGGAUACAAAUUAAAUUCUUUCCUGGGGUCCGUACUUAUCCCUGAAAAGUCUGUAACUGGAGGUGCCGCUUCUGCGCACGCGUACGGCGAAACCCAAAGUAUACACUUCCGGGUUUGCUGCGUUCGCAACCCGAAAGUUACAUAUCCAGAGUGGUACGUAACUCGAGGGUCCACUGUACUGCCUUUCAAUAUAAGAAUCUCCAGGGUGGCUUCCGAACGAAACAGUGAAAUUGUGCUUCAGGAGAACAGGGCAGCAGAGAAAAUGAGCACAGUAAAAAUGGAAAGGAUUCCCUUGCCCUGCCACUCAGAAAGCCAUCUGCUGGUGCCAGAAAAACAUCCGAAUAGGCAAAAGACGAACUUGUCUAGGGAGAGCACUAUAUCUGAGAAGGUCCUUACCUCAUUGCCAUCCUAGAUCUGGCCUGAAUCUCUCUCUCUCCCACACACAAGAGAAAAGGAUCAUUUGUCCUUUCUGAAAAUGGGGAGGCUGUGCAGAGACCGUGUGUGUGUGAACUGUAUGCACUUUCAGUGUGUGGCUUACCACAGGAGGCUGCCUUAUAAUGAGCCAGACCAUUGGAUGUUUAUUCCGCUAAAUCUACCUGCUGCACCUUCUUGUUUCUGCAUUUUUUAUGGCUCGUAGUUCAUGUGCCUACUGAGGACUAGGCACAGGUAGGGCUACUGGAUUAAUAUUAUUAUUAAACAGAAUGAAUAAAAGCUAUGCUGGCCAUUGAAGGCGGGUGUUGUUUAAUGGUGCACUUACUUUGGACAUAAUAGCACUUGGCCAAGGUUGCUGGUAGCAUAUGUUUGACUGUAAGGCCUUCCUCUGCAUUUCCCAACCCAGUUUGUGUUGCACGCAAAGAGGAAGAAACAAUUCUCAUAUCAUUCUUAGUUUCAUUUUUUUUUUAACUGAAAAGCAGAGUGGAGGAUUUGUUGUUGUUGUUGUUGUUCCAUCCUGCUUUUGUAUACAGUGGUACCUCGGGUUAAGAAUUUAAUUCGUUCCAGAGGUCCGUUCUUAACCUGAAACUGUUCUUAACCUGAAGCACCACUUUAGCUAAUGGGGCCUCUCGUUGCUGCUGCGUGAUUUCUGUUCUCAUCCUGAAGCAAAGUUCUUAACCUGAGAUACUAUUUCUGGGGUAUCAGAGUCUGUAACCUGAAGCGUCUGUAACCUGAAGCGUAUGUAACCCGAGGUACCACUGUAUUUUGGAGGAAAUACAUUCAGACUUGGUUAUUUCAGCCCAUAGAGUGUUGUUUUCCAUAGACAUUUCUUCUUGCAAAAUUAAUUUCUUCCUUUAGCCUCCCCGUGAUGCCAGAGAAAUGCCACAACAUUUUAUUUAUCCCUAUAAGAUAGACCUCACUGGUAAUCCCAGAAUGAGCAGAGAUGACUUUUUUUCCUGUAAGUGUGGUGGGAUGCCAUUUCAUUUCAGCCAACCGCUGCAGACUCCAGCUAUUUCUCAGAUUCUGCCUCUCUCCCUGCCCCCCUCUUUUUUGGGGGGUGAAAAGCAUGAUUGAUAUUAAUCUUUUAUUUUCCUUUAUAAAAAAUUAUUUCCCCCCCUGAACUCCAUACUGGUAAUAUAUUAUUCAGCCUUUCUUUAAUAACAGCUUUGGGUUGUUCCAUUAGUCACUACAGUUAUUACAACGCUAAAGGCCUAAUUCAUCAGCAUUUGACUUCCACAGGCAGAGUGUAAUGCUUGUCUGAUUCCCCCCAUGCAUCAGGGCUGUCGUUCUGGGUUAUGUGGGAAGCAGCUGCCAUUUUGGCAGGAAUGUAAGGUGCUUGAAGCAAGCAUGCCACUCUGUGACAGUGUGAGGCAAACAAUAGCAUGUCAAGUGCCUUGUCUAAAGACAAGCCUAUUGAAAGAUGCAUAAAUGGAAGUCUGGUUAGCUAUUCCAUCAUUUUCAAGACUAUCCAAGCCAUCCAGGGCAAUUAACAAAUUUAUAACAACCUCAUGAAGGCCAUACGCUCCAAUCGUCCCUAUUUGCCCAGGACAUUUCCAGAAUUACAGAUCCCAGGAUAUCCCAGGGAUUAUCUGGCAUCGGUGUGGGAAUGUCCAGGGUGGCAGGAGAGGAUAUAUUGUUUAUUAUCAUUGCUAGCUUGCGCUAGUAAGUUUCUUUACUUAGCAGAGUUACAUUCCCCUUUUUACAUGCACAGCAGAUAGCUGGUUGCAGGCUCGUGUGAGCCUCUCACUAUUAUACAAUUCAGUCUGUCUCAGAUUGAAUUGUACGUUCCUGGUAAGUUCCCUUGAAUCCCUCUUAAAAGAAUAAUGACACCACAAUCUUAUUCAAAGUCAAUAAAAGAAGUUUACUGUAGAUUCUGGCGUAUUAGGCGACUGGGCGUAUUAGACGACCCCCCAAAUUGGCAGCUACUCGGAAGCAGCAGCAGUGGGUGGGCUCCGCUCCACGCCGCCCAUACCUGGCAUAUAAGACGACCCUCGCCUUUUUAACCUCUUUUCCGGGGUUAAAAAGUCAUCUUAUACGCUGGAAUCUACGGUACUUACAUCAGUUCACAGUUGGAUUCCUGAAGGCAGACUUAGUUACAAAAAUGUACAUGUGGAUCUACCCCAUAUGGGGGAAUAAUCCCAGUGCUUCUGCUGGCUGAGAGCUAGCAGAGCAGUCCUAGCUAAAAGCUGGUCAAACGAAGAAGGAAGUCAAAAAGAGAGAAGGGUGCUGUGUGACUCGUCCUUUUGUUACCUGGACAGGUUAAAUCACGCCCAUCUUCUAUCACAUGCGAAGGGAAGGAUGCUCCAGCCAGGAGGAACAGGAAGUUUCGACUGGCUGGACCAAAUGUUCCCUCGCAUGUCUUCUCUAGCAUUACAAGGAAUGUUGUACUUGAUUCCCUCUCAUGGAUCACAUCCCACAGUUGGCACUUGCAGAGAGUGCGGCACCAAAAGACCCACAUCCCGAUUUUCAUCAGCGUGAUGUUGGAGGGUGUGGAAGGCAAGUUGUGCAGCCAUUCAUAGGGAGACAGAAAGCUACUCAAUUUAUUUAUUUGACUUCUCUUAGUGCAGGACCCAAGGCAGCUCACAUCAUAUUGUUGUAGAGUGCUUCAACAUAUUUCUGCAUUGCAGCAGAAUAUACAUUUUU